rnacentral:rRNA from 1 species
GAGCGGCCGAUGCCCGAUUAGCUAGUUGGUGAGGUAAAAGCUCACCAAGGCGACGAUCGGUAGCUGGUCUGAGAGGACGACCAGCCACACUGGGACUGAGACACGGCCCAGACUCCUACGGGAGGCAGCAGUGGGGAAUUUUGGACAAUGGGCGCAAGCCUGAUCCAGCCAUGCCGCGUGCGGGAAGAAGGCCUUCGGGUUGUAAACCGCUUUUGGCAGGAACGAAACGGUGCUCGCCAAUACCGAGCGCUAAUGACGGUACCUGCAGAAUAAGCACCGGCUAACUACGUGCCAGCAGCCGCGGUAAUACGUAGGGUGCAAGCGUUAAUCGGAAUUACUGGGCGUAAAGCGUACGCAGGCGGCUAGGUAAGACAGAUGUGAAAUCCCCGGGCUUAACCUGGGAACUGCAUUUGUGACUGCUUAGCUAGAGUCUGUCAGAGGGGGGUGGAAUUCCACGUGUAGCAGUGAAAUGCGUAGAGAUGUGGAGGAACACCGGUGGCGAAGGCAGCCCCCUGGGAUAAGACUGACGCUCAUGUACGAAAGCGUGGGGAGCAAACAGGAUUAGAU